GACGAACGCUGGCGGCGCGCUUAACACAUGCAAGUCGAGCGAAGCGGCGGACGGGGGAGUAACACGUGAGUAACCUGCCUUAGACAUUGGGAUAGACUCGGGAAACCGGGAUUAAUACCAAAUGGUCUAAGCUGGACUCGCUUCCCAUUAGCUAGUUGGUGGGUAACGGCCCACCACGGCGACGAUGGGUAGCCGGCCUGAGAUGGUUAUCGGCCACAUUGGAACUGAGAAACGGGCCAAACUCGACGUGAGGCAGCAGUGGGGAAUAUUGCACAAUGGAGGGAACUCUGAUGCAGUGACGCCGCGUGAACGAAGAAGGCUUUCGAGUCGUAAAGUUCUUUUAUAUGGGAAGCGGUACCAUAAGAAAAAGCCCCGGCUAACUACGUGCCAGCAGCCGCGGUAAUUC
rnacentral:rRNA from 1 species